CCUACGGGAGGCAGCAGUGGGGAAUAUUGUACAAUGGGCGCAACCCUGAUGCAGCAACGCCGCGUGAGUGAAGAAGUAUUUCGGUAUGUAAACCUCUAUUAGCAGGGAAGAAGAAAGACGGUACCUGACUGAGUAGGCCAGGCUAACUAAGUGCCAGCAGCCGCGGUAAUACGUAGGGGGCAAGGGUUUUCCGGAUUUACUGGGUGUAAAGGGAGCGUAGACGGGUUUGCAAGGCUGAAGGGAAAGCCCGUGGCUUAACCGCAGAACUGCAUUGGAAACUGUAUAGCUUGAGUACUGGAGAGGCAGACGGAAUUCCUAGUGUAGCGGUGAAAUGCGUAGAUAUUAGGAGGAACACCAGUGGCGAAGGCGGUCUGCUGGACAGAAACUGACGGUGAGGCUCGAAAGCGUGGGGAGCAAACAGGAUUAGAUACCCCUGUAGUC
rnacentral:rRNA from 1 species